rfam:Verticillium longisporum isolate VL1 genome assembly, contig: scaffold_72
CUUCCGAUGUCUGCUGCGGGCAGAUGAAGUGAAUGUGCGUAUCGAUACCGCCUGCUGUGAUGAUCUUGUUCUCUCCAGCGACGACAUCUGUGCAGCUGCCGACCACCAUGUUCGGCGUUACGCCGUCCAUGACAUCUGGGUUGCCCGCCUUGCCAAUACCCACGAUCAUGCCGUGCUUGACACCGAUGUCAGCCUUAUAAAUUCCGCUCCAGUCGACAAUGAGCGCAUUGGUCACAACCAUGUCGAGCGAUUCCGAGUCUGGGCGGCCCGUAGCCUGCCCCAUGCCCUCACGCAG